CCCUUAGAUGUUCUGGGCUGCACGCGCGCUACACUGAAGCUAUCAACACGUUUUCCCUCCCUGAGAAGGGCGGGUAACCUUUUGAAUCAGCUUCGUGGUAGGGAUCGGGGCUUGCAAUUGUUCCCCGUGAACCAGGAAUUCCUAGUAGACGCGAGUCAUAAGCUCGCAUCGAUUAAGUCCCUGCCCUUUGUACACACCGCCCGUCGCUACUACCGAUUGAACGUUUUAGUGAGGCAUUUGGACCGACGCAUCUCAGUUUAACCGCUGGUUUGUGUUGGAAAGACUUCCAAACUUGAGCGUUUAGAGGAAGUAAAAGUCGGAACA
rnacentral:rRNA from 1 species